ensembl:lncRNA
GGACAUUAUUCCCGGACCUACUGGACUCUAGGGCCAUCUGUUCGGCCUUCGUCACGGUGUUCGAGGUGCCGAGGCCCGCAGGAUGCUGGGCCCCGCUCCCACCCCCGGGCUCCACCCAAGGUGACUCCUCGACCUCGUGGAAACCGACAUCCCUGAAUCUGUGGCGAUCAGGUGAAGCGGAAGUACUACCACGCCAAGGGGACGCUGGCUGAGAACUAGGCUCUUCUUGGAACAACUGUAGCAAAAGAGAACCAAGCCUUGGGCUCAGAGACGAGUCUGGGCCCAGAGCCUAGGUUGCCAGGAGCUGGAAUCACAGCUCACCCCACAGGAGGCAGCUGAGGGCCAUGGAGGAGGGCCUGUCCACAGCCUCCGAGCAGCCCUUUCAGCGCUUCCCGUGGCAGCACCUGGCUCCCACAAGCCUGGGGCCAGCAGCAGCCUCAGGGUGGCGAGUGCCUCAAUGGGGAAGGUUUGGAGGGAGACUGAACUUUGAAGCAAGAGGAGGAAAGGACAUUCACUCCUGUGACACUUGGCGGCUCUCCUUCUCCGAGCCUUCCCGUCUGUCUGCAUGGGGCCAUCUUCAGGGCAGGGAGCUCCACGGUGCCUGCAGCUGGACGUCACCCACCACCCGCCUUUGUGAGCGCCCUGUGUCUGCCUCCUCUGAGCUCCGACCACACAGCACCCCCAGCCUCGCCGGCUGCUCCCUGUCCUCUGCUCUGUGGCUGCAAGCCCCGCGGCAUAGACGCCAGGAGACAGUGCCCACUUUUGACUCCCUCGGGAGCGCUCCUUGAGGUGCACAGCACGGUCAAAAAGAACACGUGGUUUUUAAACUGCUUGGAUGCACUGCAGUCCGCCAAGCUUCUCCCCAGAACUGCCAGUCGACGCCUUUAUAAAACCCACAGAUCCGGGCCUCAGGCAGCACCAAGGAUUUCUUGACCGGGGGGGGGGUUGAGACUGAGGGGCAGCUGCCUGCUCACCCACCGUCCAGAAAAUGAGCCGUCCUGCUUGUGGGCGGUGGGGCUGUGCGCACCGUGUCCUUGUUACAAGAUCCACAGGUGUUUCCUCCCAGCUGGUUGACUUUGUUGUUUCAGACUUUUAA